AAGACAUGCAAGUCGAACGAGAUGGCCCAGUGAAGGUUGCGCGGCUUGCACAAGACUGGAUCUGGAUCACCAUCUAGUGGCAGACGGUGAGUAACACGUGGGUGACCUGCCUUUUCGUUGGGGAUAACAGUUAGAAAUGAUUGCUAAUGCCGGAUGAAAUUGGGAACGAAAUUUCAUUCUUUAUUAAAAGGAGCCUUUAAAGCUUCGCUUGAAGAUGAGCCUGCGACGUAUUAGCUAGUUGGUGGGGUAAGGGCCUACCAAGGCAACGAUGCGUAGCCGACCUGAGAGGGUGAUCGGCCACACUGGGACUGAGACACGGCCCAGACUCCUACGGGAGACAGCAGUUAGGAAUAUUCGUCAAUGGGGGAAACCCUGAACGAGCAAUGCCGCGUGAAGGAUGACGGUCCUAUGGAUUGUAAACUUCUGUUGUUAGGGAAGAACGACUAGUGUAGGAAAUGACACUAGAGUGACGGUACCUUUCAAGAAAGCUCCGGCUAACUACGUG
rnacentral:rRNA from 1 species